UCCGUAGGUGAACCUGCGGAAGGAUCAGUACAGAGUUCAUGCCCUCACGGGUAGAUCUCCACCCUUGAAUAAUACUAUUGUUGCUUUGGCGGAUCGCUUCGGCUAUCGACUUCGGUUGGUAUGUAUCCGCCAGAGAACCAUAAACUUUGAAUUACAGUGUCGUCUGAGUACUAUAUAAUAGUUAAAACUUUCAACAACGGAUCUCUUGGUUCUGGCAUCGAUGAAGAACGCAGCGAAAUGCGAUAAGUAAUGUGAAUUGCAGAAUUCAGUGAAUCAUCGAAUCUUUGAACGCACAUUGCGCCCCUUGGUAUUCCGGGGGGCAUGCCUGUUCGAGCGUCAUUAUAACCCUCAAGCCUAGCUUGGUGUUGGAGCAUGCUAUCUAGCAGCUCUUAAAAUCAGUGGCAGUGCCUUCCGGCUCUAAGCGUAGUAAUUCUUCUCGCUAUAGAAACUGGUUGGUCCGCGCCAGAACCCCCAAUUUUCUAUGGUUGACCUCGGAUCAGGUAGGGAUACCCGCUGAACUUAAGCAUAUCAAUAAGCGGAGGA
rnacentral:rRNA from 1 species